AACGAACGCUGGCGGCAGGCUUAACACAUGCAAGUCGAACGCCCCGCAAGGGGAGUGGCAGACGGGUGAGUAACGCGUGGGAACGUACCUUUCGCUUCGGAAUAUUCCCGGGAAACUGGGAGCAAUGCCGAAUACGCCGUAUUGGGAAAGAUUUAUCGGCGAAAGAUCGGCCCGCGUUAGAUUAGGUAGUUGGCGGUGUAAUGGACCACCAAGCCUACGAUCUAUAGCUGGUCUGAGAGGAUGAUCAGCCACACUGGGACUGAGACACGGCCCAGACUCCUACGGGAGGCAGCAGUGGGGAAUCUUGGACAAUGGGCGCAAGCCUGAUCCAGCCAUGCCGCGUGAGUGAAGAAGGCCUUAGGGUUGUAAAACUCUUUCGCCGGUGAAGAUAAUGACGGUAACCGGAGAAGAAGCCCCGGCUAACUUCGUGCCAGCCGCCGCCGUAA
rnacentral:rRNA from 1 species